rnacentral:rRNA from 1 species
CUACUGGGGUAUCUAAUCCUGUUUGCUCCCCACGCUUUCGUGCCUGAGCGUCAGUACCCGUCCAGCUAUCUGCCUACGCAUUAGGUGUUCCUCGUGAUAUUUACGCAUUUCACCGCUACACCACGAAUUCCGAUAGCCUCUCCGGGACUCAAGACGUGCAGUAUCAAGGGCAAUUCACCGGUUAGGCCGGUGGCUUUCACCCCUGACUUACACGCCCGCCUGCGCACCCUUUACACCCAGUGAUUCCGGACAACGCUUGGACCCUCCGUAUUACCGCGGCUGCUGGCAC